GAUGAAGAACGCAGUGAAAUGCGAUACGUAAUGUGAAUUGCAGAAUUCAGUGAAUCAUCGAGUCUUUGAACGCACAUUGCGCCCCCUGGUAUUCCGGGGGGCAUGCCUGUCCGAGCGUCAUUGCUGCCCUCAAGCACGGCCUGUGUGUUGGGCCUCCGUCCUCCUCCCGGGGGACGGGCCCGAAAGGCAGCGGCGGCACCGCGUCCGGUCCUCGAGCGUAUGGGGCUUCGUCACCCGCUCUUGUAGGCCCGGCCGGCGCUUGCCGACACAUCAAUCUUUUUUCCAGGUUGACCUCGGAUCAGGUAGGGAUACCCGCUGAACUUAAGCAUAUCAAUAAGCGGAGGA
rnacentral:misc_RNA from 1 species